AUUGAACGCUGGCGGCAUGCUUUACACAUGCAAGUCGAACGGUAACAGGUUAAGCUGACGAGUGGCGAACGGGUGAGUAAUGCAUCGGAACGUGCCCGGUCGUGGGGGAUAACGCAGCGAAAGUUGCGCUAAUACCGCAUACGAUCUGAGGAUGAAAGCGGGGGACCGUAAGGCCUCGCGCGAUCGGAGCGGCCGAUGUCAGAUUAGGUAGUUGGUGGGGUAAAGGCUCACCAAGCCAACGAUCUGUAGCUGGUCUGAGAGGACGACCAGCAACACUGGGACUGAGACACGGCCCAGACCCCUACGGGAGGCAGCAGUGGGGAAUUUUGGACAAUGGGCGAAAGCCUGAUCCAGCAAUGCCGCGUGCAGGAAGAAGGCCUUCGGGUUGUAAACUGCUUUUGUACGGAGCGAAAAGGUCUCCUCUAAUACAGGGGGCUCAUGACGGUACCGUAAGAAUAAGCACCGGCUAACUACGUGCCAGCCGCCGCGGAAA
rnacentral:rRNA from 1 species